CCUUGUACACACCGCCCGUCAAGUCAUGGGAGCCGGUAGUGCCCGAAGUCGCUACAUCACUGUAGUGCCCACGGCAAGAUCGGUGACUGGGACU
rnacentral:rRNA from 1 species